rnacentral:rRNA from 1 species
GACGAACGCUGGCGGCGUGCCUAAUACAUGCAAGUAGAACGCAGUUGCGAACGGGUGAGUAACGCGUAGGUAACUGCCUCAUAGCGGGGGAUAACUAUUUGAAACGAUCGCUAAUCCCGCAUACUGUGAGUUUCACCUGCGUUUUAUUAGCUAGUUGGUGAGGUAAAGGAUCACCAAGGCGACGUUACAUAGCCGACCUGAGAGGUUGAUCGGCCACACUGGGACUGUGACCAGGCCCAGACUCCUACGGGAGGCAGCAGUAGGGAAUCUUCGGCAAUGGACGGAAGUCUGACCGAGCAACGCCGCGUGAGUGAAGAAGGUUUUCGGAUCGUAAAGCUCUGUUGUUAGAGAAGCGGGAACUAAAGAGAAAGGGACGGCUAACUACGUGCCAGCCGCCGCGGUAAUAG